CCCUUAGAUGUCCGGGGCCGCACGCGCGCUACACUGAAGGAAUCAGCGUGGCUUUCUCCCCGACCCGAAAGGGUUGGGAAACCCGUUGAAUCUCCUUCGUGAUAGGGAUUGGGGCUUGAAAUUGUUCCCCAUGAACGAGGAAUUCCCAGUAAGCGCGAGUCAUAAGCUCGCGUUGAUUACGUCCCUGCCCUUUGUACACACCGCCCGUCGCACCUACCGAUUGGAUGGUCCGGUGAAGCCUCGGGAUUGUGGUUCUUGCCGCUUUAUUGUGGCGUGACCGCGAGAACUUGUCUAAACCUUAUCAUCUAGAGGAAGGUGAAGUCGUAACA
rnacentral:rRNA from 1 species